rnacentral:rRNA from 1 species
GACGAACGCUGGCGGCGUGCUUAACACAUGCAAGUCGAACGGUAAGGCCUUGCUUUUGUGGGGUGCUCGUGUGGCGAACGGGUGUGUCACAUGUGUAUAACCUGCCUUUCACUUUGGGAUACCUUCAGGACACUGGGGCUAACACCGGAUAGGAGCUCCUGCCGCAUGGUGGGGGUGGGAAAGUUUCGGCGGUUGGGGAUGGACUCGCGGCUUAUCAGCUUGUUGGUGGGGUAGUGGCUUACCAAGGCUUUGACGGGUAGCCGGCCUGAGAGGGUGACCGGCCACAUUGGGACUGAGAUACGGCCCAGACUCCUACGGGAGGCAGCAGUGGGGAAUAUUGCACAAUGGGCGGAAGCCUGAUGCAGCAACGCCGCGUGCGGGAUGACGGCCUUCGGGUUGUAAACCGCUUUCGGCUGGGACGAAGCGUGAGUGACGGUAAUGGGUAAAGAAGCACCGGCUAACUACGUG